rnacentral:rRNA from 1 species
UACAGCAGCCAUAUCACCCUGCAACUCACAACUGCCAAUCCACUGAAGCUAAGCAGAUGUGAGCCUGGUCAGUACCUGGACGAGAGACCUCCUGGGAAAAACUAAGAUUGCUGCUGGAA